rfam:Caenorhabditis briggsae complete genome, chrI
CCAACGGCCCUCUUUAGGGCCACAAAUCGUGUCCUGCUUUUAUUUU